rnacentral:rRNA from 1 species
UACGGGGGGUGCUAGCGUUGUCCGGAAUCACUGGGCGUAAAGGGCGCGUAGGUGGUUUGAUAAGGGUGUGGUGAAAGCCCGGGGCUCAACCCCGGGUCUGCCGUGCCGACUGUCAAACUCGAGGGCUGUAGAGGCAGACGGAAUUCCGGGUGUAGCGGUGGAAUGCGUAGAGAUCCGGAGGAAGACCGGUGGCGAAGGCGGUCUGCUGGGCAGUUUCUGACACUGAUGAGCGAAAGCGUGGGUAGCGAACAGG